rnacentral:rRNA from 1 species
UACCAGCACCCCGAGUGGUCGGGACGUUUUAUUGGGCCUAAAGCAUCCGUAGCCGGUUCUACAAGUCUUCCGUUAAAUCCAACUGCUUAACAGGUGGGCUGCGGAAGAUACUAUAGAGCUAGGAGGCGGGGAGAGGCAAGCGGUACUCGAUGGGUAGGGGUAAAAUCCGUUGAUCCAUUGAAGACCACCAGUGGCGAAGGCGGCUUGCCAGAACGCGCUCGACGGUGAGGGAUGAAAGCUGGGGGAGCAAACCGGG